CGGCCGAGGCCUAAAUUCUGCCUCAGACGUGCUGGUGGUCCCUGGUCCUCAGGACGAGCAGGAAUUUCUCAAAACAAAUGAGAGAAAAAUAAGUUUCCAUCCAUGAAAAGACUAUGGUGUGUCCACAUUGAAUUUUGAAAAGAAAGUUCCUUCCACAGAUCUGUCCUUUGCAGGCGCUUCAGAAGAAAUUGCUUCAGAGCUGGCACCAAUGGAAGUGACAAGCCCAGCAACAUGGUCAGACUGGCAGGCAGACGAAACGGGCAUGAAGACUAUUUUUGCAGAAGAAGGAACUUGGAGGUUGGAUUCCAAGCCUGCUACCUAUGUGCCCCCAGACACAGAACUCAACAUACACACAGGACAGACCAUCCGGACGGAGCCUGUUGAGCAGAUUCCAGUAUGGCCAUUCCUGUAAUUAAACCUACUACAAACUAGCCACAGGCUGUACCUUACAAAAGUUAAAGAUAAACCCGCCCCUACUCUUCUUUUACCUUGCAGAAGUCCCCCAUACCAAGAAGGUUUCCAUGGAAACAAGAAACACACAUAAACCAACCUUAGCCUGGCGGAUGGAGGGGGCUCGCUCUUCCACUAGCGAUUAGAGACUGCCACUCCUUCUGUGGGGUGGACUUUUUUCUUCUAUUUACUCUCUGCUAAAUAAACUGACUUGUAGUGCAAACUCUAAUGUCAGCUCACAUUAGAAUUCUUUCCUGUGUGAAGCCAAAGACACUCUUUUCCUAUAACAUUAUGGUAUUUUCUCCCGUCAUUGUGCUAUUGGAAAUAUUUAAUUAUAAGAUACAAAGUAAAACAGAAGCAUAUAAUUAGUUUUGUAGUAGGCCUGAUCAUUUUAGAAGUAACUUCAACUUUUUUUUUUCCCCUUAAAAUCUUGACCUUUAGGGAAAAGUAACCUUCACA